GACGAACGCUGGCGGCGUGCUUAACACAUGCAAGUCGAACGGUGAAGCGCCUUCCUUUUUGGUUGGUGUGGGUGAGUGGCGAACGGGUGGGUAACACCUGCGUAACCUGCCCUCUUCUUCUGGAUAACCGCAUGAAAGUGUGGCUAAUACGGGAUAUUAUGGGUCUGUCGCAUGAUGGGUCUGGGAAAGAUAUUGUUUCUGUAGGGGAUGGGCUCGCGGCCUAUCAGCUUGUGGGUGGGGUGAUGGCCUACCAAGGCGGUGACGAGUAGCUGGCCUGAGAGGGUGGACGGACACAAUGGGGCUGAAACACCGCGCAGACUCCUACGGGAGGCAGCGGUGGGUAAUAGAGCACGGUGGCCGGAAGGCUGAAGCAGCGCCGCCGCGUGAGGGAUGGAGGCCUGCUUGUGGAGACCCUCUUUCGACAGAGAAGCAGGCCUGCCUCGUUUGUGGGUGGUUUGACGGUAGCCGGAUAAGAAGCGCCGGCUAACUACGUG
rnacentral:rRNA from 1 species